rnacentral:snRNA from 1 species
UCGAGGGGGUCCCGUUGAA